AGAGAGAAGUAUUAGGUUAGUGCAAAAGUAAUUGUGGUUUUUGCCAUUGAAAGUAAUUGCAAAAUCACAAUUACUUUUCUACCAACCUAAUAACA
rnacentral:miRNA from 10 species